AGACGUCUACAUUACGAUACCCCUGUAGUCCCAGCCGUAAACUAUGCUCGCUAGGUGUCAGGCAUGGCGCGACCGUGUCUGGUGCCGCAGGGAAGCCGUGAAGCGAGCCACCUGGGAAGUACGGCCGCAAGGCUGAAACUUAAAGGAAUUGGCGGGGAGCACCACAACGGGUGGAGCCUGCGGUUUAAUUGGACUCAACGCCGGGAAGCUCACCGGAUAAGACAGCGGAAUGAUUGCCGGGCUGAAGACUCUGCAUGACUAGCUG
rnacentral:rRNA from 1 species